UUAACGGUAGUUCAGUUAGCCUGUAAAGAUCACGUUUUUAUUUUUAUUUUUAUUUUUAUUUUUAUUUUUAUUUUUAUUUUUAUUUUUAUUUUUUUUAAGAUGGUGUUUUUAACACGUAUGCUCUACACUUUCUUCAGUGUGAACUCUUUUUGCAAAAGAAAACCGAUGUAAGAGAUUAAAUCACUUGCCAAGGCCACAGAGUCAAGAAGUAGUGGGGCCGAGACAUGACUAUAGGUCUCUUACCACGAUACUGAUCAUCAUGAGCUUCUAGGAACAUCAGAUGUUGGAGAAUAAACAAAAGAGAAAGGCCAGCAGGAUGUAGAGUGGGACCUUAUAGGGAUGCGGUACUAUAGAAGGAGGUUUUGGGGUGAAGCUGUAGUUAUGAAUUUGGAGGAUCAGUCCCAGAUUUUGUCAGUGUACCACCACAGGGUCGUUACAGGCUUGGGAGGGCCUCUAACUCAUGGAACCCAGACGGGCUCCAGUCCAGUCCUGUUGUGUUGAGUUUCAUAGCGGAAGAGAUGGAGCACUUAUGCCCUCUUCACUGCAGGGGAAACCAAUAGCUACCGGAGUUCACAGAUUCCUCAGUCCCCAGGCCCCUAGAGGGUGAGCGUGGCUGCCUCUACUGAGGGCCAAGAAGCGUGCGGGUCGUUCUGACUCAGAGAUUCUGCCCUUUAAUUUCUCAGCCGUCUUGGAUACUUCUAUUUACGGAGGCCCCAGGCCCGCACGCCCAACCCCAGCUGCCCCAAUCCAGGUGUAUUUCCAUACAGCACACAGAGCAGAACCAACAUUCCACAUUUAUCUUAACUCUGUAGUUUCCAAGGAAACAGUACUGCAAAGACAGACACUGAAUUCCCAAUUCCGUAUCUGCCCAGGCCUGGAGUUAACCCUUCACACACAGGUAAGCAGACCGAAGGAAGCCUUGCCCCGUGCUGGCACCAGGUCCGCAAAGCCGGGACGGGAUACGUCUCCAAUCUUCCAUGGGAGCCACGUAGUUGUCUCUGGCUUGGCAGGUACAGCUCCAUCCACAGUACUUGAAGAAACUGCUCUCACUCUUUCAGCCACCCUGGGAUUGGUAACCAAGGAAGAAACAGAAGAAAAAGGUCUUGUUAUCCCUCUUUUGUCCAGGGAGCUCUGA
rnacentral:lncRNA from 12 species